ACUCUGGCAAGCCUUCACUGGUCAGUAGACAACAAGCUGCCCAAGUGUUUUGCUUUGGUUCAGCCACUGCUCAAUGGAAUGGAAAUUACGGAAGAACAACACCGCAAACAGUCGAAACAAUUAACUUCACCAUGAGCUGAUUCAUUUUCUCGAGCUGUAUUUCUGUCGCGGCUUGCGGAGGCAAGACGGCACAGGGCACAACGACGAGAAGCAAGUGAAGCUUCCAAGAAGGCUCCACUCCAGGCCGCACCUAUGUCCUUAAAGCCCCAGUUAAUCGACACCGAAUCUGCGUCGAUAGAACUGAAAGCAGUUGGGAAGGCUUCAGGUCCAACAGGACCUUUUAACAAAGAAAGAAUGGUGGUGCUGUUGCACAGCACUAUCAAGAUGCACAAGGCCAACCCACCCGCUCGGAUGCCAAGCUUUUUUUUGAACGAAGAAAUUCUUGCGAUCGAAGCAGGAAUAAGGACUAACCAGAAAAUAGUCGAAAUCGUGAACCAACUGAACAAAGUUAAAGAGCUCGUUACAAAACUGUACAGUCGUGAUAUUGACUUCCCCAGCAUUGAUGAGGAGCUGAGAGGGAGACACGCGAAACACUCGCUGAUUGCUUCAGGUCGCACUCCAGACGAGAACGGGCCCGGACCAAGGAUUCUGUGGACUGAGUCUUCAAUGAGCAUCUGUUGUACAGAGGGCGAAGGUGUCAUUUUGAGCAAAGAAAGCAAGCUUGAAGAAGCCCUGAUGCUCUGCCUCGCUGUAUAUUAUAUUAAGGACCUCACAUAUCAAAACGCUUUCGCCCAAACCUUAGGCCUCGUGCAAAGUGCGCUGAGCAAUGUUGAACAGUUCCCGCGGUGCUGGAUGAGCAGCAAGCAGCAGCAGCAUUGUAACAAAGAUGAAUAAGUUACAUUACACCUGCUGACAAAAAUGACGCGAGAAGUUUGUAUACUUCGACACUGAAUAAAGAAUCCUGCGUCUCUUCAGAAA